GGCCGUUCCUGGGUCCUCAAUCUCAGGGCUCUACAUAAAAAAGUCAGGAAUUUGACAUCUCAGCAUUGAACUUCCUACUCAGUCUGCUGCCACUAAAACUUCUCAUUGUCCAGUCUCAGAAGAGCAAAUGUAACGGCAGCAAUGGGGUUAUGCAAGGAUACUCGAGGAUGUAGUAAUCACACGACAGCUACAGCUCAACAUAACCUACAGCGCAGAGUGGUGAGUCAGGGGCAAACACACACAAACUAUCCCUUAAGAUUGAGAGGGGGGUUAGAUUUUUCAACACCCAGAGACGCACGCCACAGGAAGUGCGUCACAUCGAAAGUUACAUACUCCAAUCCACCGAUAGGCCAAUCAGUGAGAGGGGGUUUGCUCUUUCAACGUGCGUCACACCCACUGUUACAUACGCCGCCUAUCCAACAAUAUGGCUAUCAGCAAUAAACAAAGGGACAUACCAAAAGUGAGUGACAGCUGUAAGCAUGCUUCGGGUAAACUUCAUCAGGCCUUCGGAUUGCCUAUAUUUUAUUUGCACGAGGAUAUAGGAAGUUAAGGAAUUCUCUAUAUCUAAUUCUUAUAGCAAAAUUGUUGUGUUGGUUGUGAGCUUUGUGAAUUAAUAUGU